rnacentral:tRNA from 1 species
GGAGAGAUGGCCGAGAGGUCGAAGGCGAUCGCCUGCUAAGCGAUUAAGCGGGUAAAAAACCUGCUUCGAGGGUUCGAAUCCCUCUCUCUCCGCCA